UGUGGAGGGAGGGCUUGGGA
rnacentral:miRNA from 1 species